UACGGGGGGGGGUAAGCGUUGUUCGGAAUUACUGGGCGUAAAGGGCUCGUAGGCGGCCAACUAAGUCAUACGUGAAAUCCCUCAGCUUAACUGGGGAACUGCGUGUGAUACUGGAUGGCUUGGAUUUGGGAGAGGGAUGCGGAAUUCCAGGUGUAGCGGUGAAAUGCGUAGAUAUCAAGAGGAACACCUGCGGCGAAGGCGGGUUGCUGGGCCGACACUGACGCUGAUGCGCGAAAGCUAGGGGAGCGAACGGG
rnacentral:rRNA from 1 species